rnacentral:piRNA from 1 species
GGAAAAUGGAUCUCAGUAGAACUCAGA